GACGAACCGUGCGAACGUUAUUCGGAAUCACUGGGCUUAAAGCGCGUGUAGGCGGCCCGGCACGUCCGUCGCUGAAAUCCCCCGGCUCAACCGGGGAAGUGGCGUGGAUACGACCGGGCUGGAGGGGGGUAGGGGGAGCCGGAACUUCCGGUGGAGCGGUGAAAUGCGUUGAGAUCGGAAGGAACGCCCGUGGCGAAAGCGGGCUCCUGGACCCCACCUGACGCUGAGGAGCGAAAGCGUGGGGAGCGAACAGG
rnacentral:rRNA from 1 species